CCCGCCGCAGCCGGCCCGGGUUCCUCCUGCCACCAGGGGGCGGGAACGCUAGCGCCUGCCUUCUAGCAGAGACAGGGACUCUCUAGGUAGCGGCGGCGGCUCCUCGGUGGCCAGUGGCGGAGGCGCUCUAGCCGGCGAGUGUGCGGGGCGGGCUCUCAGUGGUGCGGCCGGCAAGCAGCGAUGGCGGCCGUACGGGGCCUGCGGGUGUCGGUGAAGGCGGAGGCCCCGGCGGGCCCGGCCCUGGGGCUCCUGUCACCUGAGGCAGAGUCUGGUUCCGACCGUGGCGAACCGGAGCCUAUGGAGGUGGAGGAGGGCGAGCUGGAGAUCGUGCCGGUGCGGCGCUCGCUGAAGGAACUGAUCCCGGACACAAGCAGAAGAUAUGAAAACAAGGCUGGCAGCUUCAUCACUGGGAUUGAUGUCACCUCCAAAGAAGCAAUUGAAAAGAAAGAACAGCGAGCCAAGCGCUUCCAUUUUCGAUCAGAAGUAAAUCUUGCCCAGAGAAAUGUAGCCCUGGACCGAGACAUGAUGAAGAAAGCAAUCCCCAAAGUGAGACUGGAGACAAUCUACAUUUGCGGAGUAGAUGAGAUGAGUACACAGGAUAUCUUUUCCUAUUUUAAAGAAUAUCCUCCAGCUCACAUUGAAUGGUUGGAUGAUACCUCCUGUAAUGUGGUUUGGCUGGACGAAAUGACUGCUACCCGAGCCCUUAUCAAUAUGAGCUCUCUGCCUGCUCAGGAUAAGAUAAGAAGCAAGGAUGCCAGUGAGGACAAGUCAUCUGAGAAAAGUAAAAAGGACAAGCAGGAAGACAGUUCAGAUGAUGAUGAGGCUGAAGAAGGAGAAGUUGAAGAUGAGAACUCAAGUGAUGUAGAGUUGGACACGUUAUCUCAGGUAGAAGAGGAAUCUUUGUUAAGAAAUGAUCUUCGUCCAGCUAACAAACUUGCUAAAGGAAAUAGGUUAUUCAUGAGAUUUGCUACAAAAGAUGACAAAAAGGAACUUGGAGCAGCUAGAAGAAGUCAGUAUUAUAUGAAAUAUGGGAAUCCAAAUUAUGGAGGCAUGAAAGGAAUUCUUAGCAAUUCAUGGAAGCGAAGAUAUCAUUCCCGUCGAAUUCAGCGGGAUGUGAUCAAGAAGAGAGCCCUGAUUGGGGAUGAUGUUGGCUUGACGUCAUAUAAACACCGACAUUCCGGACUAGUGAAUGUUCCUGAAGAACCCAUUGAAGAGGAAGAAGAAGAAGAGGAGGAGGAGGAGGAAGACCAGGACAUGGAUGCAGAUGACAGAGUGGUGGUGGAGUACCAUGAGGAACUGCCAGCUCUCAAGCAGUCCCGGGAGCGAAGUGCAUCUCGGCGGUCCAGUACCAGCGGCUCAGACUCAGAUGAAAUGGACUAUGAUCUAGAACUGAAAAUGAUUUCCACUCCUUCACCAAAGAAAAGCAUGAAAAUGACUAUGUAUGCUGACGAAGUGGAAUCUCAGUUGAAAAGUAUUAGGAAUUCCAUGAGGGCAGAUAAUAUACCCUCAAGCAAUAUCAAAAACCGAAUUGGUAACAAAGUACCACCUGAGAAAUUUGCAGAUGUCCGACAUCUAUUAGAUGAAAAACGUCAGCACUCUCGUCCACGGCCUCCAGUCAGCAAUACUAAGUCAGAUAUACGCCAGCGAUUAGGGAAAAGACCGUAUUCUCCAGAAAAGGCUUUUAGUAGCAAUCCAGUUGUUCGAAGAGAGCCCUCUUCUGAUGUACAUAGUAGGCUAGGUAUUCCCAGACAAGAUAUUAAAGGCCUCUACUCUGAUACUCGGGAGAAGAAAUCAGGUAGCUUAUGGACUCGCUUAGGAUCUGCACCCAAGACCAAAGAAAAGAAUAUGAAGAAGGUGGAUCAUAGGGUGCCUGGCACUGAGGAAGAUGACUCCGAGCUGCAAAGGGCAUGGGGGGCUCUGAUUAAGGAGAAAGAGCAAUCUCGUCAAAAGAAGAGCCGCUGUUACCAGCACCCUUUUCCCAAGAAAAGUCAAUUCCCAGGUGCUUAUUGGACAGCCUUCGAGGGGGAAGAUGAGGGAAGCUGCCUGCUCACCCUUCCAGGACCCUAGUGUGGGGGCGAAUCUCACGGACCUGACCUCAGAGGUGCACCAGUGCCGCCCAGAGACACGGACCAGCUUGGAUAAAUACAUCUUAGGUGGAUGCAGGAUGAGUCGGCAUUCUAGAAGUCUACGAAGAUGCAGAAAAUGCCCUGUCUCCUGUCAUCGACUUUGCCUGGCUUCCCGAGGUGCCCUGAAGUUCACACUCCAAAUUUGAAGUCUUGCUUGUCUUAAGUGAGCCGCAGUCCUAGGCUCUAGCCCUGUCCUAACAAGCAUCUGCUGUAUGACUUCGGGCUAUUCUUUUCCACUGUGGGCCAGGGCUGGGGCGAAGGGUCUCCACCAUGGCUCUCCAGGGUGCCCUCAGAACUCAGAAUGAGUGGCAGGUGGAGGGGGCGGGGGCAGAGAGUCAUUGAGCCCUAGAGUGGAGGGGAGGCAGACUGGGUGCCCUGGGCCCUGAUCCAACCUGUGACAAGAUUAAGGAUGAUUUCCAUUGUGAUCUUGCUGGAAAAUCUUCACACCUAGAGCUUAGCUUUUUUCAAAUGUUUAACUUCUCUGCCAGAGGGUAACAGGUUGAAAAAUAGUAAAUUAUAAUCUCUGCUGAAAUAACCAAGUACACUCUGGUCAUAGAUAUUUUGUCAGACCAAAGAAGACAAUGCAACAAUAUUUGAAGUGUCAUCAGAUCUUCUCAGAACUUUGGCCAAGAAAGAUUUCAAUGUAGAGAAAAAAAAAUAAAGCUGAUUUUGAUUUAGUCAUUGUCUUCAUCUUUGCCUACUU